rnacentral:rRNA from 1 species
GUCUAAGGCCAUGUCACCCUGAACAAGCCCAAUCCCGUCUGAUCUCGGAAGCUAAGCAGGGUCGGGCCUGGUUAGUACUUGGAUGGGAGACCUAGGAAGAUCAGGUGUUGUAGGCU